AACGAACGCUGGCGGCAGGCCUAACACAUGCAAGUCGAGCGAGAUCUUCGGGUCUAGCGGCGGACGGGUGAGUAACGCGUGGGAAUAUGCCUCUUGGUACGGAAUAGCCUCGGGAAACUGGGAGUAAUACCGUAUGUGCCCUUUGGGGGAAAGAUUUAUCGCCAAGAGAUUAGCCCGCGUUGGAUUAGGUAGUUGGUGGGGUAAUGGCCUACCAAGCCGACGAUCCAUAGCUGGUUUGAGAGGAUGCUCAGCCACACUGGGACUGAGACACGGCCCAGACUCCUACGGGAGGCAGCAGUGGGGAAUCUUAGACAAUGGGGGCAACCAUGAACUAGCCAUGCCGGGUGAGUGAUGAAGGCCUUAGGGUUGUAAAGCUCUUUCAGCUGGGAAGAUAAUGACGGUACCAGCAGAAGAAGCCCCGGCUAACUCCGUG
rnacentral:rRNA from 1 species